CAAUGAUAGGGAAAAGGAGUAGCAGGAUUGCUAAUAAAGGAAUAAUUAAUACAUUUUAAUGCAUUUAAAUUAAACAGAAAAGAAAAGAAAACCACUGUAUAUAUCCACCGGUUAUUCAAAUGAAUAAUUAAUGCAUUUAAGUGAAACAAAAAAGCAAAGGAAACGCACUGGAAAAAAACAGCACGAUUGUGGUAAAUAUGGGCGGAGAAAGCGGCUGCGGCUUCUCUAAUCGUUGCUCGUGCUUUUGUAAGUCCUCUUUCCAGAAUCUCUUGCUUUGUCAAAUACUCUUGCCCUUCGCACGGUAUCUUCCUCUGUCAAUAAGCACCAAAGAAUCAUCUCAGAUUUGCUUUUUUGCUUUUAAAAUAAUUAAAUGCAUCCAUUUCAUAAACCCUAAAUUUGAAAUUGUAAGUAUUACCUGACAAUAUGCCUAAUUAGCUCACCAGUCUCCCAAUCACCACUCUUGCUCUUACGUUGGCUGCGAAUGUGGUAUAAGAUGUACAAAAAAAAUUGAAUAGGUGGUGUGCUUUGUUUGGCCUUGAAGAAGUU
rnacentral:lncRNA from 1 species